UCAGCUGUGGCUCAGUGGAAGAGCCUUUGCUUUCCAUGCAGAAGGUCUGAGGUUCGACCCCCAGCAUCUCCAGCUGAA
rnacentral:tRNA from 1 species